rnacentral:rRNA from 1 species
CAGUAGCGUAUAUUAAAGUUGUUGCAGUUAAAAAGCUCGUAGUUGGAUUUCUGGCAAGGAACACCUGCUCCGCCACCGUUAAGGUGUGUGAGUAGCGGUGUGUUCCUGCCAUCCUUUCCGAGAUCGAUUCUACCCUUCAUUGGAGUGGAGUCGCAAUCGGGAUCUUUUACUUUGAAAAAUUAGAGUGUUUAAAGCAGGCUUACGCUAUGAAUAUAUUAGCAUGGAAUAAUAAUUUAGGACUUUGUUUCUAUUUUGUUGGUUUCUAGGAAUGAAGUAAUGAUUGAUAGGGAUAGUUGGGGGUGCUAGUAUUCAGCGGCCAGAGGUGAAAUUCUUGGAUUCGCUGAAGACUAACUUAUGCGAAAGCAUUCACCAAGGAUGUCUUCUUUAAUCAAGAACGAAAGUUGGGGGAUCGAAGACGAUCAGAUACCGU